rnacentral:rRNA from 1 species
CGGUAAUUCCAGCUCCAAUAGCGUAUAUUAAAGUUGUUGUGGUUAAAAAGCUCGUAGUCGAACCUUGGGCCUGGCUGGCCGGUCCCCCUCACCGGGUGCACUGAUCCAGCCGGGCCUUUCCCUCUGUGGAACCCCAUGGCCUUCACUGGCUGUGCGGGGGAAACAGGACUUUUACUGUGAAAAAAUUAGAGUGCUCCAGGCAGGCCUAUGCUCGAAUACAUUAGCAUGGAAUAAUAGAAUAGGACGUGUGGUUCUAUUUUGUUGGUUUCUAGGACCGCCGUAAUGAUUAAUAGGGACAGUCGGGGGCAUCAGUAUUCAGUUGUCAGAGGUGAAAUUCUUGGAUCUACUGAAGACUAACUACUGCGAAAGCAUUUGCCAAGGAUGUUUUCAUUGAUAAGGAACGAAAGUUAGGGGAUCGAAGACGAUCAGAUACCGUCGUAGUCUUAACUAUAAACUAUGCCGACUAGGGAUCGGACGAUGUUAUUAUUUGACGCGUUCAGCACCUUUCGAGAAAUCAAAGUGCUUGGGCUCCAGGGGGAGUAUGGUCGCAAGGCUGAAACUUAAAGAAAUUGACGGAAGGGCACCACCAGGGGUGGAACCUGCGGCUUAAUUUGACUCAACACGGGGAAACUCACCAGGUCCAGACACAGUGAGGAUUGACAGAUUGAGAGCUCUUUCUUGAUUCUGUGGGUGGUGGUGCAUGGCCGUUCUUAGUUGGUGGAGUGAUUUGUCUGCUUAAUUGCGAUAACGAACGAGACCUUAACCUGCUAAAUAGCCCGUACUGCUCUGGCAGUUCGCUGGCUUCUUAGAGGGACUAUCGGCUCAAGCCGAUGGAAGUUUGAGGCAAUAACAGGUCUGUGAUGCCCUUAGAUGUCCUGGGCCGCACGCGCGUUACAC